rfam:Triticum aestivum genome assembly, contig: Triticum_aestivum_CS42_TGACv1_scaffold_273738_3DS
AAAGUACUCCCUCCGUUUCAAAAUUAUUGUCUUAGAUUUGUCUAAAUACGGAUGUAUCAAGACACAUUUUACUAUUAGGUAUAUCCAUAUCUAGACAAAUCUAAGACAAGAAUUUUAAGACAGAGGGAGUAUUAG